GUGGGGAAUAUUGCACAAUGGGCGGAAGCCUGAUGCAGCAACGCCGCGUGCGGGAUGACGGCCUUCGGGUUGUAAACCGCUUUCAGCAGGGACGAAGCGUGAGUGACGGUACCUGCAGAAGAAGCACCGGCUAACUACGUGCCAGCAGCCGCGGUGAUACGUAGGGUGCGAGCGUUGUCCGGAUUUAUUGGGCGUAAAGAGCUUGUAGGCGGUUGGUUGCGUCGAAAGUGCAAACUCAGGGCUUAACUCUGAGCCUGCUUUCGAUACGGGCUGACUGGAGGAAGGUAGGGGAGAAUGGAAUUCCCGGUGGAGCGGUGGAAUGCGCAGAUAUCGGGAGGAACACCAGUGGCGAAGGCGGUUCUCUGGACCUUUCCUGACGCUGAGAAGCGAAAGCGUGGGGAGCAAACAGGAUUAGAAACCCUAGUAGUCC
rnacentral:rRNA from 1 species